rnacentral:rRNA from 1 species
GAUGAACGCUGGCGGCGUGCUUAACACAUGCAAGUCGAACGGUGAAGCAGGAGCUUGCUCCUGUGGAUCAGUGGCGAACGGGUGAGUAACACGUGAGAAAUGUGCCCUGGACUCUGGGAUAAGCGUUGGAAACGACGUCUAAUACCGGAUACGAGCUUCAGCCGCAUGGCUAGGAGCUGGAAAGAACUUCGGUCCAGGAUCAUCUCGCGGCCUAUCAGCUAGUUGGUGAGGUAACGGCCCACCAAGGCGACGACGGGUAGCCGGCCUGAGAGGGUGACCGGCCACACUGGGACUGAGACACGGCCCAGACUCCUACGGGAGGCAGCAGUGGGGAAUAUUGCACAAUGGGCGCAAGCCUGAUGCAGCAACGCCGCGUGAGGGACGACGGCCUUCGGGUUGUAAACCUCUUUUAGUAGGGAAGAAGCGAAAGUGACGGUACCUGCAGAAAAAGCACCGGCUAACUACGUGCCAGCAGCCGCGGUAAGAC